UGGGUUUUAAAAAUUCAGAAUCUUGACUCGACCUCUCCUUCGACACAAAUUAGGAACUGAUUUUGAGAGUCGGAUUAUUUGGGAUUUCUUGCUACAAUCCGGACAGAAAGAGUGAGAUUAGGGUUAGAAUAAAGAGAAAAGGUACAAAAGGCACAUAUCCAUAUACCAUAGAUAUUUUGACGAACAAUUAUAGUAUUCGAAUAUGGUGUGAAAACGAGGGUAGAGAAAUGAACAAUAAAGGCCACAUUCACUCUUUUCUUCAAGUGCAUAGAUUCUCAAGUGGAAUCGGUUUGAAACAAGUCUAAUGUGAAAAUGGCCCCAACAAUAAACAGUAAAAUCUCAUCCUCUCUUUUAUAGUAGGUAAGAUAUGCACUGUAAUAACAUAUAAUUAAUUUCACUUAGAAUAAAAUAUGCAUGGUAAGAAAAUAUAUAUCAUAGCUCAUACUAUAUAAAUUGAAUAAUUAAGUUAAAAACUAGGGAAAAUGUUAUAUCUUAGGAAUAAUUUUUUUCUCCCAAAUAUGGUGUCAAAAAAAUAAAAAAUGGUUAAACCCUUGUUUGAUGGGGAUUAAAAUGAAUGUUAUAAAUUAAUUUCAACUACAUAUCUCAUGAAAUUUAAAACUUUUAAUCAUACAUUUUAACAAAAUAUUCUGAAAACCUAUUUUAAUUCUCACAAAACAAGGGCUAAAAAAAUGUGUUACUUAAAAUAAAGUAAUUACAGGUAACUAAUAGCACUCCGUGUGAACCCAUAUUCUAAAAAUUCAGUUGUAUUCAAAUUCAUUUAUAAUAACAUAUUCUACUAGUAAAAUAACUUUGUACAUUAAUUUUAAAAAAAUUAUUUUUUUACCACAUCCUCAAAAUAUUACUACUACGAAAUCAUUUUUUAUAAAAUGGGGCAUAGUCACACACCAAAUACGGGGUGCUCAUCCAUUUUCGAUAUCACAGUUCUCCCCACCACCUGUUGAUAUUAUAAAUGUUUGGUACAUGAGUGAAGUUACAUUCUAUCAUGAAAAUCACAAAGAAGCAAAAGAAAGCUUUUUUUACUAUCAAUAAACAAAAAGAAACAAUCUGAUCAAGAAAUGACUUACCUGCAAUCAGAAGAAGUGGGAACUAAAGGAUUGGGUAUUAAAAAUUCAGAAUCUUGACUCGACCUCUCCUUCGACACAAAUUAGGAACUGAUUUUGAGAGUCGGAUUAUUUGGGAUUUCUUGCUACAAUCCGGACAGAAAGAGUGAGAUUAGGGUUAGAAUAAAGAGAAAAGGUACAAAAGGCACAUAUCCAUAUACCAUAGAUAUUUUGACGAACAAUUAUAGUAUUCGAAUAUGGUGUGAAAACGAGGGUAGAGAAAUGAACAAUAAAGGCCACAUUCACUCUUUUCUUCAAGUGCAUAGAUUCUCAAGUGGAAUCGGUUUGAAACAAGUCUAAUGUGAAAAUG
rnacentral:lncRNA from 1 species